rnacentral:rRNA from 1 species
GAUGAACGCUGGCGGCGUGCCUAAUACAUGCAAGUCGAGCGAACAGAUAAGGAGCUUGCUCCCUUGACGUUAGCGGCGGACGGGUGAGUAACACGUGGGUAACCUACCUAUAAGACUGGGAUAACUUCGGGAAACCGGAGCUAAUACCGGAUAACAUUUGGAACCGCAUGGUUCUAAAGUGAAAGAUGGUUUUGCUAUCACUUAUAGAUGGACCCGCGCCGUAUUAGCUAGUUGGUAAGGUAACGGCUUACCAAGGCGACGAUACGUAGCCGACCUGAGAGGGUGAUCGGCCACACUGGAACUGAGACACGGUCCAGACUCCUACGGGAGGCAGCAGUAGGGAAUCUUCCGCAAAGGGCGAAAGCCUGACGGAGCAACGCCGCGUGAGUGAUGAAGGGUUUCGGCUCGUAAAACUCUGUUAUUAGGGAAGAACAAAUGUGUAAGUAACUGUGCACGUCUUGACGGUACCUAAUCAGAAAGCCACGGCUAACUACGUG